rnacentral:rRNA from 1 species
GACGAACGCUGGCGGCGUGCCUAAUACAUGCAAGUCGAGCGAAGCGGGGACGGGUGAGUAACACGUGGAUAACCUCCUCUAAGACUGGGAUAACUUCGGGAAACCGGAGCUAAACCGGAUACUUAUAGCUGGAUCCGCGCUGGAUUAGCUAGUUGGUUAGGUAACGGCUUACCAAGGCAACGAUGCAUAGCCGACCUGAUAGGGUGAAGGGCCACAUUGGGACUGAGACACGGCCCAGACGCCUACGGGAGGCAGCAGUGGGGAUUCGUCCGCAAUGGACGAAAGUCUGACGGAGCAACGCCGCGUGAGUGAUGACGGCCUUCGGGUUGUAAAGCUCUGUUAAUCGGGACGCGGUACCGGAAUAGAAAGCCACGGCUAACUACGUGCCAGCAGCCGCGGUAAUAC